rnacentral:rRNA from 1 species
AGCGAACGCUGGCGGCAGGCCUAACACAUGCAAGUCGAACGAUCCUUCGGGAUAGUGGCGGACGGGUGAGUAACACGUGGGAACGUGCCCUUUGGUUAGGAACAACUCAGGGAAACUUGAGCUAAUACCGAGUGUGCCCUUCGGGGGAAAGAUUUAUCGCCAUUGGAGCGGCCCGCGUCGGAUGAGCUAGUUGGUGAGGUAAUGGCUCACCAAGGCGACGAUCAGUAGCUGGUCUGAGAGGAUGAUCAGCCGCACUGGGACUGAGACACGGCCCAGACUCCUACGGGAGGCAGCAGUGGGGAAUCUUGCGCAAUGGGCGAAAGCCUGACGCAGCCAUGCCGCGUGAAUGAUGAAGGUCUUAGGAUUGUAAAAUUCUUUCACCGGGGACGAUAAUGACGGUACCCGGAGAAGAAGCUCCGGCUAACUUCGUGCCAGCCGCCGCCGUAAGAC